GUCCCCGCCACGGCGGGGAUGAUGCUGCCGGGAGCAUCGCUGCUCUCUCCAGGGGACUCCCCCAGUUUGGGGAUGGGUGAGGAAGGGGCUCGAUGCUGUUUUGGCGCUGCUGGAGCCCCUCCCGGUGUCGCCAGCUCUGCGCGGGACGGGCCGGUGCCGCAGGUGAGGAAGAUGCUGCCCCGAGCCCCGGCCAGGCGCUCUCCCGUCAGGGGAUGCUGAUUCUCCUUCCAGGCCCCGGGUGAGGAGGAGGAAGGAGACCUGAGCCUCUCUGUCCCACCCCAGCACCCCCGAAUCACCUGGAACAGGGGGAAGCUCCCGAGCCCCUGACAAGGAAAAUCAAGGUCCCGCUGGGAAGGGCUGGGGAAGGUUUCCCUGGUACCUGGAGCAGCAGGAGCCUCGAAGGGACCUUCGUCAUCUCCACUGGAACCUCAGCAGGGUGGGCUUCCAAGCCCACCCCGAGCAGCACCCGCUCAGCCCAGGACCCAGCAGGCGGCCCCUGCUGACCCUGGAAGGUGCCAGUCGGGCCGGAAAGCUCCUCUUGUACCGAAACCUCCGUUCCUCGUGCUCCGGCGCCGCCUCCUUCCCCCUCCACGGGGAUGUUCAGUCCCGGUUCUCCCCCCGGGACACCCCGAGCCCCCCGCGUCCCCCUGCAGUGGCGGCCGGGCGGCGGCAGAGGGCGACAGCGGCCCGGCGGUGACAGCGACAGCGACACCGUGACAUUGACAGCGACACCGGCACGGUGACAGCGACACCGACACCGGCACAGUGACAUUGACAGCGACACCGGCACGGUGACAGCGACACCGGCACGGUGACAUUGACACCGGCACGGUGACAGCGACAGCGACACGGUGACAUUGACAGCGACACCGGCACGGUGACAUUGACACCAGCACGGUGACAGCGACACCGGCACGGUGACAUUGACACCGACACCGGCACGGUGACAGCGACACCGACACCGGCACGGUGACACCGGCACCGACACCGGCACGGUGACACCGGCACGGUGACACCGGCACGGUGACACCGGCACGGUGACAUUGACACCGGCAUGGUGACAGCGACACCGACACCGGCACGGUGACACCGGCACAGUGACAUUGACACCGGCACGGUGACAGCUACACCGACAUGGUGACAGUGACACCGACACCGGCACGGUGACACCGGCACGGUGACAUUGACACCGGCACGGUGACAGCUACACCGACACGGUGACAGCGACACCGA